CGUUUUAGCAGCUUAGUAAAACUGCUCGUUUCUACUAGACCUCCCGCAGUCUAGCUAGAAACGUCAUCUUAGCGGGGAACGUCUUAAGGGAUGCCUUGACCUUAAGUUGUAUAAUUAGGGCUGGUCGAAUCUAUAGUAUGUUGCUGGACGAUAGAGGAGACGAGAUCUAAAACAGUAACUACGCUCGUAGAAGCUGAAGGUAAAGGGCCUUCGGACAGGGGUUCGAUUCCCCUCGCCUCCAC
rnacentral:tmRNA from 1 species